rnacentral:rRNA from 1 species
UUGAAGUUCAGGUAACACUGAAUGGAGGACCGAACCGACUUACGUUGAAAAGUGAGCGGAUGAACUGAGGGUAGCGGAGAAAUUCCAAUCGAACCUGGAGAUAGCUGGUUCUCUCCGAAAUAGCUUUAGGGCUAGCCUCAAGUGAUGAUUAUUGGAGGUAGAGCACUGUUUGGACGAGGGGCCCCUCUCGGGUUACCGAAUUCAGACAAACUCCGAAUGCCAAUUAAUUUAACUUGGGAGUCAGAACAUGGGUGAUAAGGUCCGUGUUCGAAAGGGAAACAGCCCAGACCACCAGCUAAGGUCCCAAAAUAUAUGUUAAGUGGAAAAGGAUGUGGCGUUGCCCAGACAACUAGGAUGUUGGCUUAGAAGCAGCCAUCAUUUAAAGAGUGCGUAAUAGCUCACUAGUCGAGUGACACUGCGCCGAAAAUGUACCGGGGCUAAACAUAUUACCGAAGCUGUGGAUUGUCCUUUGGACAAUGGUAGGAGAGCGUUCUAAGGGCGUUGAAGCAUGAUCGUAAGGACAUGUGGAGCGCUUAGAAGUGAGAAUGCCGGUGUGAGUAGCGAAAGACGGGUGAGAAUCCCGUCCACCGAUUGACUAAGGUUUCCAGAGGAAGGCUCGUCCGCUCUGGGUUAGUCGGGUCCUAAGCUGAGGCCGACAGGCGUAGGCGAUGGAUAACAGGUUGAUAUUCCUGUACCACCUAUAAUCGUUUUAAUCGAUGGGGGGACGCAGUAGGAUAGGCGAA